AAACCAACAGGGAUUGCCUCAGUAGCGGCGAGUGAAGCGGCAAGAGCUCAGAUUUGAAAUCGUGUUUCGGCACGAGUUGUAGAGUGUAGGUGGGAGUCUCUGCGGAGCACAGUGUCCAAGUCCCUUGGAACAGGGCGCCUGAGAGGGUGAGAGCCCCGUGGGGUGCUGUGCGAAGCUUUGAGGCCCUGCUGACGAGUCGAGUUGUUUGGGAAUGCAGCUCUAAGCGGGUGGUAAAUUCCAUCUAAGGCUAAAUAUUGGCGAGAGACCGAUAGCGAACAAGUACUGUGAAGGAAAGAUGAAAAGCACUUUGAAAAGAGAGUGAAACAGCACGUGAAAUUGUUGAAAGGGAGGGUAUUGGGCCCGACAUGGGGAGUGCGCACCGCUGUCUCUUGUAGGCGGCGCUCUGGGCGCUCUCUGGGCCAGCAUCGGUUCCUGCUGCGAGAGAAAGGGUUCCGGAAAGUGGCUCUUCGGAGUGUUAUAGCCGGGG
rnacentral:rRNA from 1 species